rnacentral:rRNA from 1 species
UACGGGGGGGGUAAGCGUUGUUCGGAAUUACUGGGCGUAAAGGGCUCGUAGGCGGCCAACUAAGUCAUACGUGAAAUCCCUCAGCUUAACUGGGGAACUGCGUGUGAUACUGGAUGGCUUGGAUUUGGGAGAGGGAUGCGGAAUUCCAGGUGUAGCGGUGAAAUGCGUAGAGAUCCGGAAGAACACCGGUGGCGAAGGCGGUCUGCUGGGCAGUAGCCGACACUGAGGCGCGACAGCGUGGGGAGCAAACAGG